UAAAGCCAGCAUCUGUAAUUAUUUAAAUGUCUUAAAAGGAAUGUUCACUUUUUAAAAGUGACCUUUCUGUGUGUAAUGUGGUUAAAGACUGAGUGAGACCAAUGGGAAUGUGUUAGAAAGUCAAUCAGAAUUCAACAAGAUUCAUUGCCUUUCUGUUAGAACGCUGGUGGAAUCCUACGUAUUCAAAAUUAGGAUCCUUGUGUAGCACUGAACCUGGGAAAGAGAUUUAGACUUGGAAUUUAAAUUUGAUAACAGGGCUUGGUUUUCAAAUGUGCUUGUAUUAAAUUACAUUUGUAAUUUAUGGUCUGCUUGCUGUUGCUGAUUGAUUGUUGAUCAGUAGUGUGCAUUUCAGAGAGCCUUUCAUUUUGCUUUAAUUUCAGCAAAGCGGGUUAUGAUACAUGACUUCCUCAAAAUCUUGUUCAAACCUACGGGUGAUUAAAUGUCUUGGAUGAGCCUGGGGAAGUUAAAGGGAAGAAAACACUGUUACCACUUUUCCUGUUUGUGAAGAGUUUUAGAAACUGGAAAUGCUAGAUUUGGGAGAAGGGCAGAGUUACUUGAUUAAGGACUGUCUGUGAAGUAACUUGGAGUGUGAGUUUCUUUUUGAAUCUUUAGCUAAAGUCUGGAAUUAUAUAUUCUUGAUAGAUAUUCGCACUUGGACCAUAGUUACUGUAAAAAGCAAAAAUUCUUAAUACUGUUAUUCUUUGCACUUUUUCAUAAUCAUUUUAUACACACACACACACAUACACAUGUGUAUGUGUGUAUAUAAUAUAUAUAUAUAUAUGUUGCUUCCAUUGCGUUGUACAGAUGUGGGCCACCACUACAACAAAAUGAGUUCUUUGUGCUCUAAAAUAUUUAUAAAGAAAUUAUUUAAAUGUUAUGUAUAUGGUGGUAAUAACGAAAAAAAAUCAUCUGGUGUUAUAAGCAACAGCGAAGGUUUUUGUAAAAGUUUCUUUUCAGUGUUCUGCAAAAUAAAAUUUGAGGCAAGUUUUCCCUGAAGUUAUAUGUGAGUAUUCUCAUGCUACCAUCUUGCCUUUGAAGCGUGAAAAGACAUUAAUUAUCAAGUAGACUACUAUUCAGCUUCUACUUCCUCCUAGUGCACUGUUUAUCCUUCAAGGGUGUUUUUUUUUUUUUUUUUUUAAGGCUUUUCCAAUAUAUGUAUCCCAUUUGGAAUGGUGAUCUUAAAAUGUGAGUGCAUGCAUACUAUCUUAUUUAAGAUACUUGCACCCCACCCACUCCCAUCUCCCGAAGCUGGAACACUGCCAACUAGGUCCUUAAGAAUCACGCAAUUAACACAAGGUUGGGUGCUGCUAAUUCUUCAUGAAAAUCCAAACACGUUAAGGGACCAGGGAGAUGCCACUGCCCCCCUGAAUUUUCAUCAAAAAUAGACACGUUUAUGUAAACAGAACUAUUUUCCAUAUUCAUAGUGACUUUUUAAGUAUUUGAGCCUAAAGAUUUUGAUCUCCAUUUUUAUAACUAUUUAAAUUGUUCACAAUUAUUACAUGUUAGCCAUCAAAUAAAGCUGUGCUUACUAUUGAUUAUAAGUGUGUGCAUUUCUAAGUUGAACACUCAUGAUUUUUGCUUUAAUUACACGAAAGGGUUUUAUUUCUUUGAUAUUUGUACUCAUUUUUUUUUAAGUAGACUGAAGGUAUGAUUGUCUGAUUUUUUAGAAAUGAAAUACAGAUGAAAGAUUCAUAGAGUCCAAAGCGAGGGAGAAUCCUGUUUCUUUAUUCAUAGAGACUGACUAUAUCUUUGGCUAUAUUUUCCUGGUAGCAUAUGACAAAUGUUUCUACAGUGAGAAGCUGAGAACAGGUUAAAAGAUUGUGUGGCGUUUGGGAACUGGAGAGAUACAUUUUAAUUUUGAAUGUAGUUAUACAUUUUAUAUUCAUAUUUGUAUUUUCUGUUAAAAUGCACGAUUGUAGGAUUGUUCCUUAGAUUUUUGUGUUGACUCUUGAAAAGCUUUCUUUGUUCUUAUUUUUAAGUUUGCACUUGAAUCUUAUAAAAAUAAAUCCACCCAUGUUA
rnacentral:lncRNA from 1 species